CCCCUCUCAGGGUCGCACCAGGAGAGUUUCCAGUACUCGACCACUCACGACUACAGGAGGGAGAGUCAAGCAGAGGCAUACUCAUUCCAUUCCUAGCUUGGCCAGUAGCUAGUGAGUGGAAAGCAAUCUGCUACAAGU